UCUAGAGGGCAAGCUGGACUAUUCAAACUCCAUAAGGACAGAGCGCUCGCCUAUGAAUGGAUGUGCGCUCGCCUGUGAAUGGAUGUCUUAUUGUGGCAGGGGAGUUGGCCUAUGCGGAUGAAGCUUGGAGCUAGGCCAUAAAGUCUACCCGUAUGGAAAGGUCUAAGCUGAAGCAUCAAAGUCGAGUCACCUGUGCUGGGCAGCGGCGGCGUGGGAAAGAGUAAAAGGCGGAUGAUCAACCAGUCAAAGACAAGUUUUACGGCACGGAAGAAAGGCAAUGGUAAACUAUUUUCGUAUCUUCUACCGAGACGACUCUACGGAUGCACACAUCAGAAAGAUUUGAUGACAGAAGAUGGGACAGUCUGAAGAGGGUGUGUCCUUGGAGUUGCUAUGGGUCAGAAAUGAGUCGGCGGCAUUUGUGAAGAAGGGAAGAACAAACCCACUCCUGCAUGCUCUGACCACGGUAAUCUUCCCCAAUCCUUUCUGCUGCCUCCAGUUCCCUCCCUGCUGCCUUCAGGUUCAGGAGAGUGCUGGUGGAACUAUUUUUGGAUCUAAUCGACAGAUCCCCCAUUUGGUGACCCUCACUGGGGAGGGAGGGAAUUUCCCGGCCAGAUGGUGUUAACCAAUUAACCAGUAUUAUUCACUAACCCACUUCAGCCCGUUUUCCUCUGUGAAUUGCAAACCAACAUGCCGCUGGCAGCGUCCUGGAAGCCCGGCACUUCUACUACCCGUUCUCUGCACGACCAUUCCUUCCGGAAUGGAUCCUUCCGAACUGGGCUGCUACCACCAGACUUUACCCCCGACGGCAUUUUGACCGAGAUGUUUGCCCCUGCUUCCCGCCCCGACAACGGAUUGCAGUUUGCGGCCUGAUGCCUGCGAGGUUUCCCUGCUGUCACUGGACAUUCCAGGGCCAAGCCAGAGGUUCCUCUUGCUCCAUCUCUGGAGUCUUGUGUGGACAAGCUGUAUAGCUGUCUCCCCCAGUGCUGCUCUGGCAACCUGGAGGAUGGUCCAGGGAUGAGACAAGUGACAAGAUUCCUGCACUGAAGUAAUGGCUGGGUAAACCUUGUGGAACCAGUCCUUAUAGGUCUUGUAUUGAGGCCGAGCCCACAGCCACUGCCCACUGCUUCUUUUGCCCAAGUUUAGUGACGUCGAUUCAACCAAGUAGCCAAAAUGGCAGCAGUGACGGCAGUGGUGGAGGUUGAAGUGCAGUGAGGUUGGAAAGGCCCGUGAGAAAGCUGUGAUGACGUUUACAUGUAAAUAGGUAGAUAGAGACAGGUCUCAGCGACUCAGAGAACAUCAGGAUGGUCCUCUGAUCUUCAAACCAAGAGAACGGGAUAAAUCCUCCGUCCAAGGAAGAAGCGAGAAGGAACCAGCUAACAGCGCUUUGUAGUUACUGGGCAACGAAGCACUCAGGAGAAAAAGUUAAUCUGCACUACAGGAGAGAAGAAUCGGGCAAUUUGGAAGAACAUUUCAUCAUCAGUCUGACGAGAUGGGCUGCCACGGUGACAGGCUCACGUUCUCUGCACGAGAGAGGUAGGCACUUCGUUUAGUGGGGGCUUUUUUAUUCCCUCUCAAAAACGGCGUAAUUUAACAGUGAUUAAACGC